rnacentral:rRNA from 1 species
GUGCCAGCCGCCGCGGUAAUACGGAGGAUGCGAGCGUUAUCCGGAUUCAUUGGGUUUAAAGGGUGCGCAGGCGGAUAUAUAAGUCGGAGGUGAAAUUCUGAUGCUCAACAUCAGCCGUGCCUUCGAUACUGUAUAUCUAGAGUCAAGUUGGAGUAGGCGGAAUGUGUUGUGUAGCGGUGAAAUGCUUAGAUAUAACACAGAACACCGAUCGCGAAGGCAGCUUACUAAACUUUGACUGACGCUCAUGCACGAAAGCGUGGGGAUCAAACAGG